UUUUGUCGUCGUUUUAUGCUCGUUCAACAUUUUGGAAUUUCACUUGGUUUUAUCGUCGGAUUUUCUUGAAAAUAUGGAGGUACAGUUUCUUGGUGGUAUUGGUGGACAGGGCAUUUUUUCAUGUGUCAACGCAGUGCUCAGGAGAUUGAUGACAAAUUCUGCCGCAUCCCAAUACAGCUGGAGUGGGUUCAAAGGAAAGAAAACAUUUAUAAAUUUAAGGCUGUCGCAAGUUGUGCUACGUGUUUUGUUAAAGAUAAGACUUUUUACAUUAAUGUUUUUUGAAAAAGUAUUGCACCAUCUUUGUGUGCAACAAUUCAAUAGUAAAUUUUACAAGGUAUUCUUAAAAAUAUUGUACUUAAACUAAAUUAUUAAUUUUUGAAAGUUAUCAGUAACUUAACAGCUUCUUAUAAAUUUGUUAUAAAAUAUUUUUUCCCAUGUUUUGUAUGUUUUACAAUAUUGUUGACUGUGAGCCAAGGCCUUAUGUUGGAGUAAAUACGGUAUUUAAACAUUUCUGCAGUAUAGUGGGUAGAUGGCAACAAGAAGUUGAUACGCAAAAAAAAACGUUUGCCAACAUGAAAAAUAAAAUUACAGCACUAUAAUUUAAAAAUGGUAUAAUAACAAUUAUUACUUUUUUUGCAACACUGCAAUGCAAAAUAUUUUCCUUUUUUUUUUUUGUGGAGGUGGUGGCAUCGUAUGUAUCUGUGUCUGUUCCAAUGACAUUUGAUGAUACCACUUCUUUUGCUAUGCAAAAUUUACUGAAUGCAACAAUAAUUGUGGUUUUAUUAUUUUUUUCCAGAUGUACGGUUACAUGUGCCAGGGGCUACUGAAACUGAAGUGUCAGAGCAGAUACAAGCUUGGUUGAAGCAUGCCAAAACAAGACUUGUCAGAACAUCACAGAAGUUGCCAGUUUCUGACCAGUGUUGAAAAAAGAAGCAUAAGAACUUAAGUGAACUACUUUGUAAUGAAUUUUACCAGGACAUGAAUUAUUGUGCCAAAUGAAUGUUUAAAAAUACCUUGCAUAUCAUAUUUUUAUACUCUACUUUGAAAACUAUAAAAUAUUUUGUAGAAAUAUUGCAGGAUUAAACUUUUACUUACACUUA